CUACGGGUGGCUGCAGUGGGGAAUAUUGCACAAUGGAGGAAACUCUGAUGCAGCAACGCCGCGUGGAGGAUGACACUUUUCGGAGCGUAAACUCCUUUUAUAUAGGAAGAAGAUGACGGUACUAUAUGAAUAAGCGCCGGCUAACUCCGUGCCAGCAGCCGCGGUAAUACGGAGGGCGCAAGCGUUACGCGGAAUCACCGGGCGUAAAGAGCGUGUAGGCGGAUUAAAAAGUCAGAAGUGAAAUCCUAUAGCUUAACUAUAGAACUGCUUCUGAAACUCUUAAUCUAGAAUAUGGGAGAGGUAGAUGGAAUUUCUUGUAUAGGGGUAAAAUCCGUAGAGAUCAGAAGGAAUACCGAUUGCGAAGGCGAUCUACUAGAACAUUAUUGACGCUGAGACGCGAAAGCGUGGGGAGCAAACAGGAUUAGAUACCCGGGUAGUC
rnacentral:rRNA from 1 species